ensembl:misc_RNA 7SK 7SK RNA
GGAUAUGAAGGUGAUCUGGGCUGCAAAUUGUUAUGUUGAUCAUCAGGGUUGGUUGGCUGAUCUGGCUACCUAUGAGAAUGUCCCCUGCCUUCUCUCAUUGGUCCAUUUGCAUCCUCCUGAAACUGAAUACUUGUUCAAAGAGCAUGACCUCUGAUAGAAAAAGACCAUUGUUUGGUCAACUGAAUAUAAAUAGCUGAGGUCCCCUGCUAGAAUAUCCUAACAAGUUCUCAAUGAAAAUGUUUUAAAGCUGCAAAGGGGUAAGAAACACCGUACUUCUAAAGAUCAAAAAUAGUAAUUGCAUCUGCUUU